rnacentral:rRNA from 1 species
CAGAGGGCGCGAGCGUUGUCCGGAAUCACUGGGCGUAAAGGGCGCGUAGGUGGCGCUCCAAGUCUGUGGUGAAAACUCGACGCUCAACGUCGAGUCGGCCAUAGAGACUGGAGGGCUCGAGCACUGUAGGGGCAGAUGGAAUUCCGGGUGUAGCGGUGGAAUGCGUAGAGAUCCGGAAGAACACCGGUGGCGAAGGCGGUCUGCUGGGCAGUUGCUGACACUGAGGCGCGACAGCGUGGGGAGCAAACAGGAUUAGAUACCCUGGUAGUCCACGCCGUAAACGAUGGGCACUAGAUGCUUGGGGGAGCGACCCCCUGAGUGUCGUCGCUAACGCAGUAAGUGCCCCGCCUGGGGAGUACGGCCGCAAGGCUG